AACGAACGCUGGCGGCAGGCCUAACACAUGCAAGUCGAGCGCCCAGCAAUGGGAGCGGCGGACGGGUGAGUAACGCGUGGGAAUUUUUCCUGGAGUACGGAACAACCGAGGGAAACUUCGGCUAAUACCGUAUGAUGCCGAGAGGCCAAAGAUUUAUCGCUCUGGGGUGAGCCCGCGUCAGAUUAGGUAGUUGGUGGGGUAAAGGCCUACCAAGCCUGCGAUCUGUAGCUGGUCUGAGAGGACGAUCAGCCACACUGGGACUGAGACACGGCCCAGACUCCUACGGGAGGCAGCAGUGGGGAAUAUUGGACAAUGGGCGAAAGCCUGAUCCAGCGAUGCCGCGUGUGUGAAGAAGGCCUGCGGGUUGUAAAGCACUUUCAGUAGGGAAGAAAUGCUUGGAGCUAACACCGCCAAGUUUUGUACGUUACCUACAGAAGAAGCACCGCUAACUCCGUGCCAGCCGCCGCGGUAAGU
rnacentral:rRNA from 1 species